AUUCCGUGAUAAGGGAAUUUUCAUAAUAAUUCUUUCAUACUCUCCCAUGCCUUGUAUAGGGAUUCAUCAUCCAUCUGUUGGAAAGUCGUGAUCUCAUUCCGCAACU
rfam:Gossypium hirsutum cultivar TM-1 chromosome 9, whole genome shotgun sequence